rnacentral:rRNA from 1 species
CCCUUAGAUGUUCUGGGCCGCACGCGCGCUACACUGAUUCAUGCAACAAGUUUUGUCCUUGGCUGAUAGGCCUGGGUAAUCUUUGAACGUGAAUCGUGAUGGGGAUAGAUGAUUGCAAUUAUUCAUCUUCAACGAGGGAUUCCUAGUAAACGCAAGUCAUCAGCUUGCAUUGAUUACGUCCCUGCCCUUUGUACACACCGCCCGUCGCACCUACCGAUUGAAUGGUCCGGUGAAAUCUUCGGAUCUGAGAGAUGUCUGAUUAAUUUCGGACGCCUUUUGGAAAAGUUGCUUAAACCUUACCAUUUAGAGGAAGGUGAANUCGUANCA